GGCCCAUCUUUGGAUCACCAUUUGGAGUCCAUUUUAAAUUCAAUUUGUUUCUAAUUUUCUUCCUUCUAACCUGCAAAUCGGGCUCUUGUAUUAGUGAUCAUUUUUCCUACAAAACACAAACAAAAAACAUCAAUUCUUAAAAAAUAAAAGUUAACUAGUAUAUAUUUUUAUGCUUUUAUUGAGAUAUUUAAGGUACUUAUCACACCCCCC
rnacentral:lncRNA from 1 species